GAUGAACGCUGGCGGCGUGCCUAAUACAUGCAAGUCGAGCGAACGGACGGGAAGCUGUCUUGUCUGAGGUUGGCGGCCGACGGGAGCUUAACACGUGUAUGGCCUACCUAUAAGACUUGGAUAACUUCGCGGAACCGGAGCUAAAGCCGGAUAAUAUUUUGAACCGCAUUGUUCAAAAGUGAGAUACGGUCUUUCGGUCACUUAUAGAUGGCUCCGCGGUGCAUUAUCUAGUUGGUAAGGUAGCGGCUUACCAACGCAACGAUGCAUAGCCGACCCGAGAGGGUGGUCGGCCACCCUGGAACUGAGACACGGCACAGACUCCUACGCGAGGACGCAGUCGGGACUCCUACGCGAUGGGGCAGAGGGUGAUGGAGCAAAGCCGCGUGAAUGCUGAAGGUGCUCGGCUCGUAAAACUCUGUUAGUAGGGAAGAACAAAAGUGUAAGUAACUGUGAAGAUCUUGACGGUAGCUAAUGAGAAAGCCCCGGCUAACUACGUG
rnacentral:rRNA from 1 species